GACAAUCAUUCCGGGCUUCUAACGGCGAGUGGUCAUUAACAAUUAAUCUUCUGCCCCUGCCUCCCGGGGAGCGGUGGAUCGCCGGCAAAUGCUCUAUACAACCUUCCUCCUCCUGGUGGAGGGCGGACCGAUCUUUCGGACCCGCAUGCUCUCGCAGCCUAUCACCUUGUUGGUGAGGUAACGGCGGAUCAAGGCGAUUACCGGCAACCGGCCUGAUAAGGCGACCGGCCAACCUGGGACUGAGACACAGCCCAGACUCCUGCGAACUCGGGCGGUGGGCAAUAUUGGGCAAUGGGCGAAAGUGUGACACAGCUUCGCCUCGUGGGGCUUGAUGGCCUUCGAAUUGUAUGCCUCUUUUACCACCAAAGCACGCGGCGGAUUCUCUCCGGGUUGACGGGGGGUGGGGAAUAAGGACCGGCUAACUCCGAGCUAGCGGCCGCGGUAAUACCUAAGGUCCAAUCGUUGUCCGGAAUUGUUGUCCGUAGGCACAACCUAGGAAGCGUGUCUCGUCUGCUGUUGUGAAGUUCGACUUAACUCCGGUGCUGUCUGGUGCGGGCGUGCUUGAGGUAGGUAGGGGAGUCUCGAUUUCGAGUUGUAGAGAGGAGAUGCGCAGAUAUCAUGUGGAGCACCAUUUGCGAAGAAGUGUCUGUAACCCCUAGCGUGGAGGUGAGGAGCAGUGAGCAUGGUGAGCGAACAGAGAUGAGAUAAGCGUGGUAGUCCUAACACGUAAUACGAUGGGCUGGUAGUUGUGGGGAGUAUACGAUGUAUCCGCGCCGUCGGCUAACCAUGUAAGCGGCUGUCCCUGGGGAGUAGGGCCGGCAAGGCUAAAACUCAAGGGAAUUGACGGGGGUCAAACUCAAAAGGCGGAGCGGGGGCCUUAAUCAAACGCUGGAGCAAGAACCUUAAUUCGAGUUUGACAUGCAGAACUGGACCAAAGAGAUACGAGGUCAUUUAUUUGGUGGGAGUCAGCUUCUCAUAAGAGUCGUCAUACAGGUGCUGAGAUGUUGGGUUAAGUCCGGGUAGGAGCGCAACCCUUGUUGUUCGUUACCAGGCGCAAAUCGUGUGGAUACAUGGGAGACUUCAGGGGUCAACUCGGAGGAAGGUGGGGACGAUAACUAGUCAUCAUGCCCGGAAUAUGUCAAGUCGUAAACACCCUUCAAUGUUGGGUACAACACGCGUUACAUACCGUAAGGCGGAGGGUAAACCCCCAAACCCGUUUCAGUUCGGGAGGUGUUUUGCAAUUGGACCCCGGAAGUGGGAAUCGCUAGAACCGCGAAACAGCUGCCGCAUUCUCCCCC
rnacentral:rRNA from 1 species